rnacentral:rRNA from 1 species
AUACGGAGGAUCCGAGCGUUAUCCGGAUUUAUUGGGUUUAAAGGGUGCGCAGGCGGCCAUUUAAGUCAGCGGUUAAGUCGUGGGGCUCAACCCCAUUCUGCCGUUGAUACUGGGUGGCUUGAUUGCGGUCGAGGUUGGCGGAAUUCGUUGUGUAGCGGUGAAAUGCAUAGAUAUGACGAAGAACACCGAUUGCGUAGGCAGCUGACCAGACCGCAAAUGACGCUCAUGCACGAAAGUGCGGGGAUCGAACAGGAUUAGAUACCCUGGUAGUCCGCACAGUAAACGAUGAAUACUUGUUUUCGGCGAUAUAAUGUCGGAGGCAAAGCGAAAGCGAUAAGUAUUCCACCUGGGGAGUACGCCGGCAACGGUGAAACUCAAAGGAAUUGACGGGG